AUUGAACGCUGGCGGUAGGCUUAACACAUGCAAGUCGUGCGAGAAAGUAUCUUCGGAUAGNAGUAGAGCGGCGGACGGGUGAGUAACGCGUAGGAAUCUACCUAGUAGAAGGGGAUAGCCCGGGGAAACUCGGAUUAAUACCGUAUACCUCCUUCGGGAGAAAGAAGGCCUCUCAUUGAAGCUUUCGCUACUAGAUGAGCCUGCGUAAGAUUAGCUUGUUGGUGAGGUAAAGGCUCACCAAGGCGACGAUCUUUAGCGGGUCUGAGAGGACGAUCCGCCACAUUGGGACUGAGACACGGCCCAGACUCCUACGGGAGGCAGCAGUGGGGAAUAUUGGACAAUGGGCGCAAGCCUGAUCCAGCCAUACCGCGUGUGUGAAGAAGGCCCUAGGGUUGUAAAGCACUUUAAGUUGGGAAGAAAAGUUAUUGGUUAAUACCCAAUAGCCGUGACAUUACCAUCAGAAUAAGGACCGGCUAAUUCCGUG
rnacentral:rRNA from 1 species